CAGCCGCCGCGGGAAUACGAAGGGGGCUAGCGUUGCUCGGAAUGACUUGGCGUAAAGGGCGCGUAGGCGGCGAUCAAAGUCAGGCGUGAAAGCCCUGGGCUCAACCUAGGAAUUGCAUUUGAUACUGUUUGGCUUGAGUUCGGGAGAGGUGAGUGGAAUUCCCAGUGUAGAGGUGAAAUUCGUAGAUAUUGGGAAGAACACCAGUGGCGAAGGCGGCUCACUGGACCGACACUGACGCUGAGGCGCGAAAGCGUGGGGAGCAAACAGGAUUAGAUAUCCCCGUAGUCCCUGUCUCUUAUAC
rnacentral:rRNA from 1 species